GGCUCCAUAGUGUAGUGGUUAGCACAUCUGCUUUGCAUGCAGAAGGUCCUGGAUUCGUGCCCCAGGAGGAGCCA
rnacentral:tRNA from 1 species